GUAGUUUCCUGUAGAUUCUGUAGCUCCUCCCCUUCCUCGUCAUUCUGCCUCUGGCAAUGCUGUGCGCUGCAUGACUUAGACGACACCGCCAUCUGCUGGCUGCACGGGACACCGCACCUCAGCCAAGCCACUGCAUUAGAAUUCGACACACAAUACCCCACGAUGACGAUCCCUAAAAACCAACGCUUACCAUCCAACCUGAAGGAGUUUGAGAGGUGCUGCAAAGAGGAAUGGGCCACACUGCCCUAUGAUAGGUGUGCCAAGCUUGUGGCAUUGUAUUCAAAAAGAUUUGAGGUUGUAAUUGCUGCCAAAGGUACAUCAACAAAGUAUAGAGGUAAGGGUCUUAAUACUUACCGUAUUUUUCGAACUAUAAGUCACAGUUUUUUUCAUAGUUUUUUCGGGGGUGCGACUUAUACUCAGGAGCGACUUAUGUGUGAAAUUAUUAACACAUUACCGUAAAAUAUCAAAUAAUAUUAUUUAGCUCAUUCACGUAAGAGACUAGACGUAUAAGAUUUCAUGGGAUUUAGCGACUAGGAGUGACAGAUUGUUUGGUAAACUUAUAGCAUGUUCUAUAUGUUAUAGUUAUUUGAAUGACUCUUACCAUAAUAUGUUACGUUAACAUACCAGGCACGUUCUCAGUUGGUUAUUUAUGCCUCAUAUAACGUACACUUAUUCAGCCUGUUGUUCACUAUUUUUUAUUUUAUUUUAAAUUGCCUUUCAAAUGUCUAUUCUUGGUGUUGGGUUUUAUCAAAUAAAUUUUCCCAAAAAAUGCAACUUAUACUCCAGUGCGACUUAUAUAUGUUUUUUUUCCUUCUUUAUUAUGCAUUUUCGGCCGGGGCGACUUAUACUCCGAAAAAUACGGUAUAUACAUUUUAUUUUAAUAAAUUUGCAAAAUUUAACAAAAAAAGUUUACAUUUUAAUUAUGGGGUAUUGUCUGUAGAAUUUUGAGUGCAACACAUGCAUUUAACCAGUGGCGGGCCGUGCGUUUCCCACCUAGGCCUUCAGUGAUGUCCUGUGUCCAAUGAUCAAUGAUCUCAAAAUACCAUCAUUUAGGUCACCACAUGACCAUUGCUGGAGAAAUACUAUUCAGGAACACAUUUACGCCCUACUGGACAUUGACUCACAUCAACACCGUACAAAACUGGUUAUUUUCUGGCGCAUUUAAAAAUCAAUUAACCCGUAUCAGCAAUUAAAACAUAUCUUAUGUGGUACUGUCAAAAUUAAAAUUGCAAAAAACAUGUUAAACGAGAAAAAAAUUAAGAAAUAAAAUAUCUGAACUCACAUUUAGGGAUGAUGUUUGAUAAGGAAUUAUCGAGUUCGAGUCUAUUAUCGAAUCCUCUUAUCGAACCGAUUCCUUAUCGAUUCUCUUAUCGAGUCCAGAUAGGUUGUUGUAUAUGGAAAAAAACACACAAUAUUUGGUUUAACAAAAGCUCACUUUUAUUAUAUAAUAAAAAAAAUAAAAUCUAAUAAAUAAAUAAAUAUUGACUGUUAGCCACCUAAAAAAAUAAAAUAAAUAAAUAUUGACUGUUGUUACCCAAAGUAUAUUAAGUGGGAUUUUUCAGAGAAACAAAUAUAUACAGUAACACAAAAACAACCUGUCUCUGUGAUCACUAUAGUUAAAGUUAAGUUAAAGUUAAAGUACCAAUGAUUGUCACACACACACUAGGUGUGGUGAAAUUUGUCCUCUGCAUUUGACCCAUCCCCUUGAGGAGCAGUGGGCAGCAGCGGCGCCGAGGUGUAUAAAUAAUAAUAUAGUGUUAAAUAAAAUCAGUCCCUUGGGCACAAAACUGAA